GGUGAGAUGGCCGAGCGGUCUAAGGCGCCAGACUAAGGACCGGGGUAGUCUGUACUCAUCACUAACCUUCAUGGUUAUCUGGUCCUCCGGGGCGUGGGUUCGAAUCCCACUCUCAUCA
rnacentral:tRNA from 1 species